AUAAACAGGGGAGCUUGUUUGACAGGCUGAGAGGAAGUUUAUAACUUCGACCCUUUAACCUGAUACGGAUAAUGCCGUCGUAGGAAGUCAU
rnacentral:ncRNA from 1 species